rnacentral:rRNA from 1 species
AUUGAACGCUGGCGGUAUGCUUAACACAUGCAAGUCGAACGGCAGCACGGUCUGUAGUAAUACAGAUGGGUGGCGAGUGGCGGACGGGUGAGUAAUACGCAGGAAUCUGCCCUAUAGAGGGGGAUAACUCGAGGAAACUCGAGCUAAUACCGCAUAGUCUCUACGGAAUAAAGCUGGGGCAACCUGGCGCUAUAGGAGGAGCCUGCGUCUGAUUAGCUAGUUGGUGGGGUAAAGGCCUACCAAGGCGACGAUCAGUAGGUGGUCUGAGAGGAUGAUCACCCACACUGGGACUGAGACACGGCCCAGACUCCUACGGGAGGCAGCAGUGGGGAAUAUUGGACAAUGGGGGCAACCCUGAUCCAGCAAUACCGCGUGUGUGAAGAAGGCCUUAGGGUUGUAAAGCACUUUAGGCGGGGAAGAAGGUAUGUAUUUUAAGAGAUAAUAUAUUUGACGGUACCCGCAGAAUAAGCACCGGCUAACUCUGUGCCAGCAGCCGCAGUAA